rnacentral:rRNA from 1 species
CCCUUAGAUGUUCGGGGCCGCACGCGCGCUACACUGAAAGAAUCAGCGUGUGUCUACCCUGGUCCGGAAGGAUUGGGUAACCCGUUGAACCUCUUUCGUGCUAGGGAUUGGGGCUUGUAAUUAUUCCCCAUGAACGAGGAAUUCCCAGUAAGCGCGAGUCAUAAGCUCGCGUUGAUUACGUCCCUGCCCUUUGUACACACCGCCCGUCGCUCCUACCGAUUGAAUGGUCCGGUGAAGCGUUCGGACCGUGGCCUUUGGACGGUUCGCCGUCUGUUGGCUGCGGGAAGUUCGUUAAACCUUAUCAUUUAGAGGAAGGAGAANUCGUANCA